CGGGAUUAGAAAUGGUGGUUGUUUGUGUCGCUGACGUCACGUUCUCCUCCAAGAGGCGAGGCGUUGGUUAUCCUCAAUCCAACCCAGUUGGAUAGAGAUAGAGAUUUAGAAUCAAUCAGGGCCAGCUAACACCUCCCAACAAAAGAUUCCCCCAGGCGUUUGCUUUAAGGCUCCCAAAAGUUAAUGACUAUCUUAAACAAAGCACAUCCUUCGGACUGCAAGGAGCCCCUAAGCUUUAUUAUGACUCCUUUACUCCCCCCAGGACCUUGGAUGGCUUUUCUUCUGGGAAAAGAUUGCUGAGAUGGAGGAGAAGGUCCCCAAUUCAUCAUCAUAAUGUGCUGGGAGCUCUGAGGGGCAGAAUGCUGAGAGAGUGUCCUCCCACACCAUAGAGAUCUGUGAGAUCAGACCACACCAUGCUCAGAGGAUUACUGUCUGAUAGCUAAGAAGGAGCCAGAAGCUUGGACAAGCUGGAAGAAGCCAAAAUGAUAGGAGAAGUUCCUUAAUGGUCAAGCAACUCAGUAUUCUAGCUGCUUCUUUUGUUAGAGAAAUUACUUGUCCGUGGACAGCUAGUUGGAGAUUCAUAGCGGGACUAUAAAAAGCCAUUUUGGAGAAGAUGACUCAUCCUCCCUGCCCCUUUAGCUAGGUGUGUGUCAGGGAAAGAAGAAACAUUUCUGAGAAGGGAAUGACAAACAUUGAAAAGGGAGAACAGAGCUGAAAGGUAUAUUCCUAAAAGCAGACUUUAUGCUGCAGGUAUCACGAGGCAUCUGAAUGGAAGAACUGUACAUGAUUAGAAGUCUAUUUUCAGAAGUGAAAGUGGACUCCUGGACCCUUCUGGUUUCAUGUUUUUGGAGGACUGAUAU
rnacentral:lncRNA from 11 species